UAAUACAGAGGGUGCAAGCGUUAAUCGGAUUUACUGGGCGUAAAGCGCGCGUAGGUGGCUAAUUAAGUCAAAUGUGAAAUCCCCGAGCUUAACUUGGGAAUUGCAUUCGAUACUGGUUAGCUAGAGUAUGGGAGAGGAUGGUAGAAUUCCAGGUGUAGCGGUGAAAUGCGUAGAGAUCUGGAGGAAUACCGAUGGCGAAGGCAGCCAUCUGGCCUAAUACUGACACUGAGGUGCGAAAGCAUGGGGAGCAAACAGG
rnacentral:rRNA from 1 species